CCUACGGGAGGCAGCAGUGGGGAAUAUUGCGCAAUGGGCGAAAGCCUGACGCAGCGACGCCGCGUGAGGGAUGAAGGUCUUCGGAUCGUAAACCUCUGUCAGCAGGGAAGAACGGUCACUGUGCUAAUCAGCAGUGAAUUGACGGUACCUGCAAAGGAAGCACCGGCUAACUCCGUGCCAGCAGCCGCGGUAAUACGGAGGGUGCGAGCGUUAAUCGGAAUUACUGGGCGUAAAGCGCUCGUAGGCGGUAUGUUAAGUCAAGGGUGAAAUCCCCGCGCUCAACGUGGGAACUGCCUUUGAAACUGGCAAGCUGGAGUGUGUGAGAGGGUAGUAGAAUUCCAGGUGUAGGAGUGAAAUCCGUAGAGAUCUGGAGGAACAUCAGUGGCGAAGGCGACUAUCUGGCACAUGACUGACGCUGAGGAGCGAAAGCGUGGGUAGCAAACAGGAUUAGAUACCCUGGUAGUC
rnacentral:rRNA from 1 species